UACUAGGAGAGGAGAAAAAAGGCUUGUGGUUAAGACAACAUUCCUUACAGCGGAAAGGUAGGGAGUGGAUUACUAACCACAGGAAGAAUUAUUAGAAAUAUAAUACACUUUGUCAGUUAUUGGGAAGAAGUACCUUCCUUUAAGUUGACUGUAGCAGUUAACCCUUUGCAGUCUGAUAUUUUCUGUCUCUGUCCUGUUUUUGUUCAUUUUUAAAUUGUAAUGUGAGUAUACUUUUGCAAAGUGACUAUGGGAAAAUGUUUUCUGGGAUUCCAUGUUUAUUAUCUCUUACAUGCUUCUAUAUCAAAUUUGCUCCACUUUCAAAUGGAAAGAUGGCUUUUCUAACUGCAAGCCCUGAAAAUUCAGUCUGGAAUUGAAACAUAGCUUGAUUUUUAUUCUGGUUCAUGCAUCAUUACCAGUAGAUUUUGCAACUAGAACUUAGUUAGCAGUUCUGUUGAAGGAUGAAUGAUAAUUGAAUCCAAUUAGCUUUCCCUGAUUGGUGUUGGUUCUGCAGUGCUAACAGGAAAAAUACCUAAAACAUUUAAGUUUUAUGUACUUAUUUAUUUAGAUUAAUUAAAUAGUAUAUGAGUGCUCAUCUGGGCAUCCCAUGGCUGAGUUGAUAAAACCAGAUGACAGACUGCUCUUUCCACAUUAAAAUAACAGCCAUCUAAAAACAUUACAUGUUCAAAAAUCUCCCUGCCACCUCCAAUUUAUCCCAACAACACUCUCCCAAAGCGCCCUGGAAAAAAGAGGAGUUAUGCACUAUGCCUGGAACAUUAGCUAAUCAGGGCUCUGGCUUACUAAAGGGGGGAGCUCAUUCAGAAUUGAGGGGCUCCCAGAAGACAAAACCCUGUCAGCAGCCCUCUCUCCUUGAUGCUGAAAGAGCAACAGCUCGAGCACCUCCUCUGAUUGCAACUGCAGGGGUAUGCCAUGAGGGAAAGGUGGUCUCCCUGAGAGCCUGCUCCCAUGCCAGUAUGAACUUUAAAGUUCAAAAUAUAAUGUCUUGAAUUUCACACAGAAACCUAGAAGCAGCCAGGCAAGCUCAUGGAGCAUCAGUGUUAAAUGUUCUUGGGGAGGUCCCUAUUAAUAGGCAGGCUGCCACAUUCUGCACCCGCUUCAGGUUCUAAGCAGUGUAACCCUGCCUCCAAAAGAAAUUAUCACACUUGCCUCACCAAGCACAGAUGGAAAAUGCAUUUUUAGCGGUGGCUGCUACCUGAUCAUCUAGCAGGAGUCUUGGAGCCAAACAUACUCCCAAACUGCAGAACUCUUUUACCAAUGGAAGCCAUACGCAGUCUGGGAUGUUGAUGUAAUUUCCACGAGUAUUGCUGCUUCCCCCACUCUAUAAAUAAUACCUCGGUCUUAUCUGGAUUUCGCUUCAGCCAGCUAGACCCUCAAUCAGACCCUGAGCGCCAGGUUUGAAUCAAUAAAGGAAACAUAUAUAACUCAGAACACACUGAAAAUCAGUUAUACAAGAGAGCAGAAAGACUCUUACAUAUUGAGAAGAAUCUUCAUCAUCGUUCUUCCCACUUGCCCUUUUAAUCUGUGCAUACGACUGCCUGUUUACUUUCAGUUUCAGCUCUGCUGCUGCCCUAAUUGAGGGUAACACUCAUUUGUGGGGCCUGGGAAGGGACAUUCACUAUCAACAAAGCGGUGAAAACAUCUACACACAAAGUGCUGUCCAAUGCACAAAUUAACAAAAGACAAAAAUGCAUCUUUCCACUUUUCUGAUCUCUUUCCAAAAGAUAAAUCUUAGGGUUUACAUGUACAUACAGAAUUAUCAUAUGGAAAGUGAUUUUCAACUUUUCUAAGUCCUUUGAAAGUCCUCUAAUUAAACACAGAAGAAAGAGAAUAGGCCAUAGUAUGGGGUGACCAGACAGCAAGUGUGAAAAAUCGGGACAGAGGGUGGGGGGUAAUAGGAGCCUACAUAAGAAAAAGACACAAAAUUGGGACUAUCCCUAUAAAAUCUGGUCACCCUACCAUAGUAGUACAUGCCCAUGAUCUAUUCAUGUGCCUCAUCCCUGAUUUGAAAUCACCUCUAACAAUAGGAGGAUUCUUCCUCCCUGUACAGUUCAUAGCCUCUGUGAAGAUACUGCUAACAACCUGCCCUUACUGAUGGUGCUUUCUGCAACCUUGAUGUAAGGAACCACAGAUCUAGAACCCGGGAGCAUAGGGGUCUGGGAGACCGAUGCCUUUAUGUUGCCACUGGGGAAUCAGCUGAAGCACCACCCAACAAUUACGGGAUGGUUAGGCUCCAUAGGCAGUACCACCCAAAUUGGCCAUAGCAAUAAAACCCUGAGGCCACCUGAUUGGUCCACACUAUUUAAACCACAAAGUCUGCCCAGGGAGAUGCUAAGCAACCAUACAGACUCUUCCUUUCUAUUGAUCUUGUCUUUUUGCCCUGUCUAGCUCCUGACUCCUGCCUUUUUCAUGGCCUGACCUUGGUACCAGUUUCCUGACUCGACUUGGUAACUAGUCUUGGCUCCUACCUUUGACCCCAGCCCAGUGGAUGUUAUUGGCCUGGCUGCCUCUGCCCUGGUCAUCUUGCAUAGGCUGCCUAUGGUAAAAAAAAUGGUUGUGGUGAAGCCAACAUUCAGUUACUACCAGGCUGGGCUGAUUCAAACAGAAAAAAAAUGGGCAAAUGCUGGAAGCUGUCACCUAUGAAAAUCCAACUGGGAAUAACCCACAGGAUGUACAACUUUAAUCCAUUUACUCCAGGAGGCUGAGUAUUCUUUCUUCUAAAAUGGAAUAGUUCAGAAACAUACAAGUGCCAUAGAUUCCUCCCCUCUUUCUGAAGUUUUCUGGCAUGACACCCGUUAUCAAAUUCUGAAGUACUCAAAUAACCUGUUGUUAAUGGAAAUGGUAGGAGAGUUCUAAGUUUGGAAGCAUCUUACAGGUUUUUUUGGGUGGGUUUCAGUUAAUCAGACAUGGGUACUAAUUGUUUAUAGUUUAAUGGUUAUGUAUGUGCCCACUGCAUUGGGUGUGCACACUUUGUGAAAGAGAGCUAAGUAAAUAAUCACUUAUAACAUGUUUUUAUAGUAUAUUAGAAUACUAAUUUGACUAACAGUAUAUGAUAAUUUCUCUUUUUUUGGCUGUAUACAGACCAGUUGUCUGUAAUGUCAUAGAAUGCCUCUCUCUCUCAGGGCCCUGAUCUUGCAAACGCACAGCUGCUGUGACUCCCAUUAAUUUCACUGCAAGCUGAAAUGACUCAGCACAUCACAGAUCAGGUUCAGAAAAGACUUUAACAGUAGGAAAGCAAUACUAUGAAACUUUGAUGCUAUCUUGGAGAUGGCAUCACGUCUAAAUUCCUACAUGUGCUUGUUAUGAUAAACAUGAUUGUAUCACCGUCCUUUGCUUCAUUUAUACUAGUGGCUGUGAAUCUUAAGCACUCAUGAUGCCGUCUAACCUACUAGCAUUACAACCCUUACUGCAAGCUUUAGGAAAUUCCAACAGCUGGUAUUAAUGGAUUAAAUAACUCCUUCCAUUUGAACUUCCUUGUGUUAUGUGAUUUAGCACAGGCAUUUGUAAAACAGAUUUUGCCCAAGUUUUCAUUGACAGCUUGUUUUAAAGCAGUGAAAACAUCAAAAGGAAAAAGGGGAUAUGUCAAAGGUCCAAGCCAGUUAUCAGAUGAUAAAGUUCCUUCCAAGUCUCAUCACUUCAGAGAAAUCAAAAAAGACAGGAGAUGAUGGGGAUAUAAAUCCAGCUGAGCAUGAUUUUUUUUUUCAAAGUGUUUGAGUUUUAUAUACCUUUGCUG